rnacentral:snRNA from 1 species
GUGCUUACAUUGGCAGUCCAUACAUUAAAAUCAGGACAAUAUGGAAAAGAUAACUGUGGCCUUUGUGCAAGGAUGAUGCACAAACCCAUGAAGGUUUCAUAUUUUUA